rnacentral:lncRNA from 1 species
UGCCUGCAUGAUGAUGAUGGACUGAGCCUCUGAGAUUAACAUGGAAGAGGAAGUGUAAGUAUCUCAGGAUGGUCUUGACCUGCCAGCCACCCAGAUCUGUGUUCUCUCCACAAAAUCAAGGCAGCUCUAAGCCACUGGAGGGUAAGAGAUCACGUGGAGAGAGCUGUCAGCCCAGCUGUCCCGGCCAAGCUGCAGACAAGUGUGAUGGGGGACUGGCUGCAAUCAACAAGACAACAGCUGACCCAUACCUUAUCCCAAGGACUUAACAUGCUCUUCAAGGCUCAUCAAACAAAGGGCACGCUCAUCUUGCACGAGGAAAAGAGGGCCGCUUCUGAUACAUCUGGUGAAUUCAUCUGUUGUCAGAGAAGGUGCAGCCAAGGGUCCAGAGGAAUGACCUUCUCUAGGCUCUUUCUGCAAACUGUCUGCGUUUUAUCAAUGGUCUUGACUUCAUAAAACAAAACAGCAUGAGAGGCAGUUAUCCAAGCGCGUGAGCUUCCAACUGUCAGGAUACAGACAGGCAAGAGUCCUGGAGGCAAGCAGCCUGUGACCUCAGACAUAGGAGGCCCUCAGAUUCAUUUGCUUCGGGUGUUGAAAUCAAGCAAGAAAGCAGUUACUGUUGAGUGUUAGUGCUAUUCCAACCUCAAUGAGAUUUUAUCUAUGGGGAGAAAGAUUAGGGGAGACCAAAUUUAUUGUCAUUCAGAGGAAGUAUUUAUAAACUUGGCAGAGUCUCAUGCGAGAGAGUAGAACAAAGGCUGCCAAACAGAUUCAUAAAUCGAAACGAAUGACCUGAAAGUAUUUUCCGCUGCAUACACGUGGUUCUAUAUGCACUGUGCCGCUCCAGCUCAGCACUGGAUUGCCCUGUGUGGUGCUGAUGUUGCUAUCUCCGUUGUAGGCAUGGGGUAGGGUGGGGAAGCUUGAAAUCGUACCAGCUAAAAUCAGGACAGAGCAGAAAGGAUGCUGUGAG